CUUGUUUGCCAUAUAAUGGAUAGGUAAAUCUUCUUUAGUGGCUCUGAAUCCCCUUGAUAACUCACAUCAUGUUCUUAAAAACUUUUUUUAGUAGAUCACUG